ACAUUUUUAAAAUAUUGGUGACAUUUAUUUAUGUGUGGAUAAAAAUAUUUAGUCAUAUUUAUCUUUUAUUUUAUAUUUUUAAAACACCCUAAAUCUCAAUUUUGCUUACGUGGAUGAAUAACUUAUAUAAUCUCUAGUUAUUAAUAUUCUAAAUAUUUCAUUUUCCCACAUCCUUUUUUUUCGAGAACCAUUUUCCGACAUCCUUAACGUGAAAUAUUUCAUUUACCCGCCCUACUUUGCGCCAAAAACUCCUUAAAAAAAAUGGAGGAGCGGUUUCGACGUAGAAGAUGAGAGCAGCCACUUAAGGCUUUGGGAAAAUGUUUGGAGGCGUAUUCCAGUUAUUGCGCGGCGCUAGAGGCAGUGGCGGCAGCGGUGAAGCAGUUGUUGGCAGAGAAGAUGGAAUGGACAGUGAGAAAGCUAACACUAUAAGGUCAAAACAUUGAGUCACGGAGCAGCGUACGAGGAGUAAGAUCAAUGAGAGAUUUCUCAAGGCUGCUCAAUUUGACACAAAGGUAAGGUAUCCAAUAAAAUUUGUGAAAAUACUGUGAAUUUUUCUUUCUAAGACUUUGAGUAUGUUUGUGUAUGCUUAAAUGUAUGUGUAUCUAAAAUACCAGCUGCUAAGUAUGCUUUGAUUUUUCUAAAUUUAGCUACACUGAAUAAGAGGGUGCUUCUAAUUUCUUCUGACAUUUCAAAACAUGUCAUUUUCACUUCAGAACAUACUCAUAUACAGUAUGGAAAAGUAUACGUUUCAAGGUUUGGUAAGUAAUUUUUCAAUUUCUUAUAUAAGCUUUUCAACAUUAUUUUAUUCUUUUCCUUCCAUUAUUGUCUACCUACUUUAUUAUUUCUUUCAGAUGCUAUAUAUUAAUUACGAGCCUAAGAGCAUUCACAUCGAUCGACUCAUCUGAGAGGGCUCGAGUCGAUUUCUGAAUGAGUCGAUUGAUGUAACCACCCGUCGACUCGAGCUCGACUCUUCUCGAUGAGCUCGGUCCAUCCGUCAAUUAUGAAGAGUGUGCACGCGCUGAGUUACAAAAGAAAAUUUGUUUAACUGUUUGAAUUCUACAUCUAUUUAGCCAAAAAAAAUUAAAAUUGUUUCUAACGGCCGAAAAAGGCUAGUGUUUUUUUUUUUUCACUUUUGUGUAAACACAUCUUCAUUCAACCAAUUCAUCCAUCUCCUUCACUCUUUCCCUUUCAUUUUUCCUUCAUUUUUUUUUCUAUCACAAAUAGCUUCGUGGUUCGAUGAUUCUUCAUCUUCGUCCGACAGGAAGACGAAGCAAAUCACGAACAUCAUCGUCCAAUCGCAAAAUACGAUUGCUCAAUAUCUCACUUCCCAACACAACCCCAACGACAUGUGAUUUCUUCUAAGGCUGUUUGGGAACGUUUCGGACCUUUAGGGGCGGAUUAGUUAUUUACGUGUUUAAUUUAAGAUUUUUUUAUUUUUUAAAUUUUAUGUAAUUUCAAAAUUAUGUAAUUUAAAUGAAUGCAAUUUUAAUUUCAUUUAAUUUUGUUAUUUAAA